rnacentral:rRNA from 1 species
GACGAACGCUGGCGGCGUGCUUAACACAUGCAAGUCGAACGAAGAGCGAUGGAAGCUUGCUUCUAUCAAUCUUAGUGGCGAACGGGUGAGUAACGCGUAAUCAACCUGCCCUUCAGAGGGGGACAACAGUUGGAAACGACUGCUAAUACCGCAUACGAUCCAAUCUCGGCAUCGAGACUGGAUGAAAGGUGGCCUCUAUUUAUAAGCUAUCACUGAAGGAGGGGAUUGCGUCUGAUUAGCUAGUUGGAGGGGUAACGGCCCACCAAGGCGAUGAUCAGUAGCCGGUCUGAGAGGAUGAACGGCCACAUUGGGACUGAGACACGGCCCAGACUCCUACGGGAGGCAGCAGUGGGGAAUCUUCCGCAAUGGACGAAAGUCUGACGGAGCAACGCCGCGUGAGUGAUGGCGGCCUUCGGGUUGUAAAGCUCUGUUAAUCGGGACGAAAGGCCUUCUUGCGAAUAGUUAGAAGGAUUGACGGUACCGGAAUAGA